rnacentral:lncRNA from 1 species
CCUGGCUUCGGUUCCUCCAGCAAGGACUGGAGGCAGCCACCUCUGCAGUCAGUGCUGUUGUGCAGGUGCUGGCGAUUGAACCCAGAUCCUCAGGCUCCUGUGAAGCCAUCUUCCAGUCUCUAGGCAACUCCUUUAGCCUGGAGUCCUCAGGAGAAAAGAAGCCAGAAGGAUUCAGCUUUGAGGCACCUAGUCAGGGAACUCCAAGUUCUGCGUAGAUUCUCCACUGUAGAGGGACAGGAGUUGGCAGUGAUAUGGGACUAAGGAUCAAAUUGUUCCAGACCUCCCAGAGUGGGAAGCAACCUGCUUGCCUACCAACAUGAGCCUCAUGGGACCACCCCACACGUUGAUGCAGCCUAUGGAUGAAAGAAAUGUCCCACACCCAUGAGACUAAAGGAAGCUAAGGAAGGCUUCCUGGAGGAGCACGCCAUCAUGAAGCUGGGCUCUUGAAGAGAAGUCUGCCAUACCAAUCAAAGACAUAGAGUAUGACAAGGACCAGAAAUCCCAGAAGCCCUGGGACUAGUCCACUUCUGGAUUCCCUGCACUGCUCCCCAUAAGCCUUUUGGCAUCUGAAAUGGGAGGCUGAUGGGGGAAGUACCCUUGGGCACAGAGCAGUGGCAGAACCCAACUCAGCAAGAGGGCUCCAGGGGCCAUGCAGAAGCACGCCUGGAGCUGUCAGAGCUGCAGCAGCACUUCACCUACACAGUAAGGAACUUCAGCAACCAGAGGUUCCUAAUUAACUGUUUCCUAAGGAAGAGAGCAUGGAGGCUGGGAAGCUGCUCAUUCCAGGAAACACUCACAUUUAAACAUUUUUAAAGCCCAGCAUGGAAAUGCACUCAUACAACCACAGUGCCAGGGCUCAGUGUCCACUUAGUCCGGGCUGAUUGGUGAGGGCUUGGCCAGUGGGAGAUUCUUGCUCAAAAGUAAAUAAAUAAAUAAAGGUUUAGCAUGGUGGCUAAUGCCUUUAAUCUCAGCACUCAGGAAGCAGAGGUGGGUGAAUCUCUGUGAAUUUGAGGCAAGCCUAGUCUACACAAUGAGUUCCAGGCUAACCAGGGCUAUAAAAUGAAACCCUAUCUCAAAAAA